GGGCCAUUAGCUCAGUUGGUAGAGCACCUGACUCUUAAUCAGGGUGUCCUGGGUUCGAGUCCCCGAUGGCCCA
rfam:Caloramator australicus RC3, WGS project CAKP01000000 data, contig: 214